GACAGAGGGGGCAAGCGUUGCUCGGAAUUAUUGGGCGUAAAGAGCUUGUAGGCGGUUUGUCGCGUCUGCUGUGAAAUCUCAAGGCUCAACCUUGAGCUUGCAGUCGAUACGGGCAGGCUAGAGUGUGGUAGGGGAGAUCGGAAUUCCUGGUGUAGCGGUGAAAUGCGCAGAUAUCAGGAGGAACACCGGUGGCGAAGGCGGGUCUCUGGGCAGUAACUGACGCUGAGGAGCGAAAGCGUGGGGAGCGAACAGG
rnacentral:rRNA from 1 species